GAUUAACGCUGGCGGCAUGCCUAAUACAUGCAAGUCGAACGGAAGCAGCAAUGCUUUAGUGGCGAACGGGUGAGUAACACGUAGGGAACCUACCUAUACGACGAGGAUAACUACUGGAAACGGUAGCUAAAACUGGAUAGGAUCAAUUGGGGCAUCUUGAUUGAUUUAAAGAUCCUUCGGGAUUACGUAGAGAUGGCCCUGCGGCGCAUUAGCUAGUUGGUGAGGUAACGGCCCACCAAGGCGACGAUGCGUAGCUGAGCUGAGAGGCUAAACAGCCACACUGGGACUGAGACACGGCCCAGACUCCUACGGGAGGCAGCAGUAGGGAAUUUUCGGCAAUGGGGGAAACCCUGACCGAGCAAUGCCGCGUGAACGAUGAAGGUCUUCGGAUUGUAAAGUUCUGUGAUUGGGGAAGAAUGGUAUUCUUAGGGAAUGAGGAGUACAUGACGGUACCCGAUUAGAAAGCCCCGGCUAACUAUGUGCCAGCAGCCGCGGU
rnacentral:rRNA from 1 species